AUGAACGCUGGCGGCGUGCCUAAUACAUGCAAGUCGAGCGAACAGGCGAGGAGCUUGCUCCUCUGACGUCAGCGGCGGACGGGUGAGUAACACGUGGAUAACCUACCUAUAAGACUGGGAUAACUUCGGGAAACCGGAGCUAAUACCGGAUAAUAUAUUGAACCGCAUGGUUCAAUAGUGAAAGACGGUUUUGCUGUCACUUAUAGAUGGAUCCGCGCCGCAUUAGCUAGUUGGUAAGGUAACGGCUUACCAAGGCAACGAUGCGUAGCCGACCUGAGAGGGUGAUCGGCCACACUGGAACUGAGACACGGUCCAGACUCCUACGGGAGGCAGCAGUAGGGAAUCUUCCGCAAUGGGCGAAAGCCUGACGGAGCAACGCCGCGUGAGUGAUGAAGGUCUUCGGAUCGUAAAACUCUGUUAUUAGGGAAGAACAAAUGUGUAAGUAACUAUGCACGUCUUGACGGUACCUAAUCAGAAAGCCACGGCUAACUACGUG
rnacentral:rRNA from 1 species